rnacentral:rRNA from 1 species
CAGCAGCCGCGGUAAUACAGAGGGUGCAAGCGUUAAUCGGAAUUACUGGGCGUAAAGCGCGCGUAGGUGGUUUGUUAAGUUGGAUGUGAAAUCCCCGGGCUCAACCUGGGAACUGCAUCCAAAACUGGCAAGCUAGAGUAUGGUAGAGGGUGGUGGAAUUUCCUGUGUAGCGGUGAAAUGCGUAGAUAUAGGAAGGAACACCAGUGGCGAAGGCGACCACCUGGACUGAUACUGACACUGAGGUGCGAAAGCGUGGGGAGCAAACAGGAUUAGAUACCCCGGUAGUCCCUGUCUUUAUACC